UGGCCUGGUUUCCUGGGGGGUGGGCUCAGCCUACUCCACUUCCCCUCAACCGAGCCUAAAGCAAAGAGGCCAGGUAUCUUCCGGUACGGGAGAGGUGUUUAAGAAAGAAGCCUUACCUGGACUGUCCUAGCCUCACAUUU